GAUGCAUUAAUUGGGUUGGCAAUUGAUUUCCACUUUUCCGAUGUGAUAUGUGAUGAAAAAAGGAAGAAGAGCAAGUUCGGCAAAAGGCA